CUCAACACUGCCCCUAGCGUCCUGGAGCACUUCCGUUGUGUUUUGGAAUUUGCAAGUGUUUUGGAGUUUGCAUGUAUUUUGGAGUUUGCAAGUGUUUUGGAGUUUGUACGUGCUUUGUCUCUAGGGGCCACCGUAUGUGCGUACUUGUAAGCGUGGCAAUGGCGGAGGAGCGCGGCUAAAAAACUUAUUACUUUUUCUGGGUCACAAAAUAAAACUUUUAAGAUAUUUUCAGGCAAGAAUGUAGCUGUGUAAAGUUUAAGUAUCUGCUCGAUUUAUCAAGACAUCACAUAUUUGCAAAAAUGCUCUAACGUUUUCGGAGACGUCCAUUUUUUUCAUGCUUUGUGGCAGCUUUUGAACAUCUGUGGCAUCUAUUAAUGUCAAAUCUAGCCUUUAUUUAACAACAUAAGCAAUCUCUAUGUUACAAUAAUUGCACAGCCAUUAAGGAUCAAAUCAGUUUCUGAAAAAUGUUCUGUUUUUUCUCCCUCUGCUUGCUUCUUACUGUCUUUGAGGCUCGGGACCAGCACUCCUGUUGUUGGACAGAAAGACAUCAACUCAGCGUUUUGCUGUUGACUCCAGUUAAUUCUACAAGACAUGCUGUGACACCAGGAGAGAUGAGUCCUCCGUCACAGAUGGUGUGGUCAGUGAAGAUGGUCGCCUGCAGGUUCAAGCUCACUGCAUCUCCAACCCACAUCCACUGCCACUGCACUUAAGGGAAGUUAAAGACUUUCUUCUGCACCUACAUUUGGAUCACCUCGAUCCAUGAUAGUCAUUCAGGCAGUAAUGCCUGGACUGGAAACAAGCCAUCCUUAAAACAUUACAACAUUCCAGCUCAUGUGUUGGAAUGCAAAACAAAUGUGUUGUUUAAAUUAGAGACUGCACUUGUGACAGAACAACAAAUAUUUUAUUUUGAUUAUAUAAGUAAUGUAAGUACGAAACAAACUUGUGGUAGACCUAAACUUAUUUUCAGAAUAAUUACAUCUGAGACUUUGUUUCAUUGUGAGAUUAUAACAGUGAUGGCAAUAUAAUUGUUUGUUGUUCAGCAGAACAGUGUCCAGUAUGUUGGCUGUUAUACUUUGUUGUGUUUGAAAAUAAAAGUUGGGCUGAUUUUAACAUCAUUA
ensembl:lncRNA